rnacentral:rRNA from 1 species
CCCAGUUCGGAUUGCAGCUGCAACUCGAGUGCAUGAAGCUGGAAUCGCUAGUAAUCGCGGAUCAGAAUGCCGCGGUGAAUACGUUCCCGGGUCUUGUACACACCGCCCGUCACACCAUGGGAGUCGGGAAUGCCCGAAGCCGGUGGCCCGAUCGAAAGAAGGGAGCCGUCGAAGGCAGGCCGGAUGACUGGGGUGAAGUCGUAACAAGGUAAC